rnacentral:lncRNA from 1 species
AAGUAACGGCAUGUCCCAACUAACAAUUUAGUGAAAAUAAGAUGUUGAUAUGUUAUAAGGUUUUGAAAACUAGUAAAAAUAAGCCAAAAUAAAAAUUUAGAAUACGACCUUGACCUUUGACCUUGACUUUAUUUUAAUUUUUUGGGACCAAGGAUCUCAAAUCAAAAGACCCUAGGUCUCUAUCACUUAAGGUUUACCAGUUAGAAAUGCAAAUAACUUAUAUCAAAUACAUAAGGGGGAGUAACUCUCAUAUGGAGUCUCCGGAUAGCUUCGGUCAAAACUAAACUCCUAAUCCUGAAGAUGUAUUGAACAAUUUGGUAAACUAAAUUUGUCGUAAUCUUUCACGGUUGCGAAGGAGUAGUGGCUACAAGAAAAACAGUGUUUGGGGAGAUAACUCUUACAACGCCAAGUAUUUAGUUACGCGGUUGUCAGUUUAAAAGCGUAUAAACUACACGAUAUCAUAUUCCAAAUAUCUAAGCGACAUCUUGAGAAACAUCAUUACUACACAAGAAAAAAAUUAGGCGGAAGAAAAAAAAA